AUGAUUCUGAUCACUAAUGAGAUGAAGGCUUGUGGAGAAACCCUUUCUGAACAAGUAAUUAUUGAGAAGAUAUUGAGGUCACUUAUUCCUCAAUUUGAUUACAUCGUGGUAGCAAUUGAACAUUCUAAAGAUCUGGAACCCAUGAGAAUGGAAGAGCUGCAAAGCAGUCUAGAGGCG